AUGGAGACCAUAGGUCUCCGCGCCGGCUUAAAAAGAAAGGUUUUUACUCCGAGAAGACUUACCAAAAAGAGCCAAAGCGUUCAGCCCAAGGAUCAGGGCAACCUCUUGGAUAUCUCGCUUCUUGGCCGCUCUUUACACUGUCCCACCAUUUGGUGGUGUGCGGAGAAGAUAUAUCCGGGGAAGCGCUUUGAUAAGUAUGCUAUCCUUGGUGACGAUAUUUGUAUCGCCGACUCAAAGGUCGCAGAAGUCUACCUAUCUACACUUAAGGAUUUAGGCUUCUUGGUAAACUUAACCACACUAAGUCGUCUACAGUCUUACGGCUGA
rnacentral:lncRNA from 1 species